rnacentral:pre_miRNA from 1 species
GUUGGUGCUCUAACAGCGGCACUGACCUUUCCAUAGUAAUUAGUAAGUGCUAUUUGUCGGGGUAGUUUAA